AGUGAACGCUGGCGGUAGGCCUAACACAUGCAAGUCGAACGGCAGCACAGUAAGAGCUUGCUCUUACGGGUGGCGAGUGGCGGACGGGUGAGGAAUACAUCGGAAUCUACUUUUUCGUGGGGGAUAACGUAGGGAAACUUACGCUAAUACCGCAUACGACCUACGGGUGAAAGCAGGGGAUCUUCGGACCUUGCGCGAUUGAAUGAGCGGAUGUCGGAUUAGCUAGUUGGCGGGGUAAAGGCCCACCAAGGCGACGAUCCGUAGCUGGUCUGAGAGGAUGAUCAGCCACACUGGAACUGAGACACGGUCCAGACUCCUACGGGAGGCAGCAGUGAGGAAUAUUGGACAAUGGGCGGAAGCCUGAUCCAGCCAUACCGCGUGGGUGAAGAAGGCCUUCGGGUUGUAAAGCCCUUUUGUUGGGAAAGAAAAGCAGCAGGUUAAUACCCCGCUGUUCUGACGGUACCCAAAGAAUAAGCACCGGCUAACUUCGUG
rnacentral:rRNA from 1 species